CCUUUCUAGACCAGAACUGAAAGUAUAGAACUGAGUGCGAGAGUGGGAGAGAAAGCUUGGCCAGCUCCAUCACUCGCUAACCAAAAGCAAGCAAGGGAAACUAGAGCUAAGAGUGAGGAACCAGAACUAGAAAUUUUCGCAGCCUGCAACAUCGAAUUCUUAGGAGAAAAAGGGUAAGAACCUGCACUAAUUUUUCUGUUUAUUUGGUAUAAUUGGAAUAACACAUGAGCUGCACGUGAAUUUAGUAAAGAAAAUAGGUUCUUAGCCAAGAUGAGAUGCUGUUUUGGAAGGAAUGAAGCUAACGAACAGAAAUGAAAAGAAUGGAAAGUUGUUUAAAUUUAGCUUAUAAAUGAUGGAAAAUGUAUGUGAUAAUCUCGUAAUCACCUAGUACACCUGAAUAUGUAUAUUGUAUGCUGGAUUCUAGCCAAGAAAAUUUAGUUUUGUUGCAGGAGAAUUUUAUUUGGAACUGAUAGCUAUUGGAAGAAAACUCUAACUUUCAGCCACGAGAUAAAUACUGAUCGUGCAGCUUGCCAUCCGAAGAAAAAUGGAAACUACAGCUAGGAAUGCAUGAAUUAUGUCCACUUUAAGUAAUAAAAGAAGGAUGAAACAGAUAGCUAGAAACGUAGGAAACAUACUCACCUUGAGUAAUAAAACAGGUUACCCGUAGGAACUUGUAGGAAUUGGAAAUUUUGCAUGGAAGAAAUCUGAUGCAGGCUGCAUAAGUUUAGCAGUCUUGCGCAGACUUGAGAUUUCAUUCAGUUUUCCUCUGAAUUAUGGGCAUGAACUGCCCUGUUUAGCUUUGGAUAACCUACAGUAAAUUAAGUAUCCUCUGCAUGAGUGAUUGAGACCAGAAACUAAGGAAGUAAAGGCGAGAAAAUGUCAAAGGAUAAGCUACUGUUUUGCUGGAAAAUUUAGUGACUGCAACCGAAAGAGAGAAGAAAGAAACUUUGGUGAUCCUCUAUAAACUUUAACUCCUAAACCUGUGUAAUAAGUGUAACAUGUUAUACGGACUUUAAACCUCAACUAAAUACUAAAGUAGAAAUGAGUGCAGGUUGGUUGGCCGAGGGAGUAAAGCAGAAUGUGCUUCUGUCCGGCCAUUUUUGACCCUGAAAAUGUGAGAACUGGAUGUCGAUGUCUUCAUAGGAAAUGUAGGUCUAUGUCUUAACUUCGAAACACUAUAAAAUUUACCUCAAUCCGAUAAGUGUAGCUCUAGUUAUGAUCAAAACACCAGAGGUUGGCAAAGCUGCCUUUCUCGUUGCCUUUCUUUUGCUCCCGAAUGUAUUUUGCUUUGAUGCUGGCCUUGAGGAAACCAAUUUUUGAACAGCAAUCCUUCUAAUUUCCAACUUUGUAAGCUUUCAUAAAUGAUAGCUAUAGUUGCUCUGAGAUUUAAUGACUAUAUAUAGUUUCACGAGUAGAGUUAAGCUAAAGCAAAUGAGAGGAAAACUCAUGAUAGUUAUAUACCUAAAUUGGCUUCUAAUCAUUUAAUAUUAUCUUCACAAAUAUUUUAAAGACUAUAAAAUUUGAGGGAUUGGUGUAGUGGAAUAAAAUUUAAUUUACGAAUAACCUAGAGUUUAAUUAAUUUAAAAGGGAACAAAUGGAGCGUCUAUAAGCUAUAAUUAAUGAAUAUUGAAUUGAGAAAGAUAUAUUCCUGAUUUAAAUAUUAUACAAGGAUACAAACUUGGGAAAAAUGUAUAAAUCUUAGUUUAAAAUAAUAAAGUUAAUAAAUCUUGAAAUAAAAUGUAAAAUAAAUAUUAAAUACUAUAUUUUGUAUUUUAAAGUCAAACUUGACUUUAAUCGACCAAAUAAUAGGAUAAAAAAUAAUAAGUGAACAUCUUCAAAUUAUAUAUUUACUUUGGAAUUAUGAACUUGUCUCAGGAAAUAGCUGUAAACCAGGAAACGAACCCCAGGCUCGAGAAUAAUUUAUUUGGGUAUUUGGUGAGUGUUUUCCGAAUUUAUGUGUUUAACUGUUUAUGUGUAUCUAAGUAAAAUUAUGUAACAAAUGUGCUUAUCAUGAAUUAUUACUAAAUGAUUCCUUGUGAAGUGUAUCUCAAUUGUCCCUGGCCUUCUAAGUCGAGGGCGUACUUUAUCGCACUUAGCUUAGUUGAGUUUGAAGGUCAAUAAUUGACUGAAUGUUUCUGUAAGUGUGCAUGAAUGUAAAUCAUAUGUGUGCCUCGCCGCAUCGGCUGAACUGGGCCCCAAAACCCUCUGUUUAACGGACUAUUAGAGCUAGCAAAGGGCUUGGUCGAGUAGGACAAUAGCUUUGGGUACAUGUUUCGGUAUACUCGAGUAUUACCAUGAGGUUGGGAGAUUAUUGAACUGAUUACUGAAUGUAGGGGAUUGUUUAUUGUUUUGGAGGACAUAAGGAGGUGAAUUGGGGGAAUGUGCAAUGAUAUUGAAAUGAAUGUACAAUGACAGUGAAAUGAGUGUCUUUGGACACUGAAAUGAAUGCUCAAUGACAUUGAAAUGACUCCCAAGAGGAGUACGUAUCCUUUUGAAAGUGAUUGUUCAGUGAAAUGUGCACUACUUGUUUAAUUGUACUGAUUUAAGUGUUUGUUAAAUGUUACUUGCUCGGCAAACCUCACUGAGUUUUAGCUCAGCCCUUUAGUUUUGUUUUCCUUACAGGAGUUGGUGGUUGGGAAACUAAUGAGGGAUCUUAGGGAGUUAACGUGAAGAUUUUUUGUGAUUGUAAAUCCUUUAGUUUCAUAUUAUGGUUGAAACUUUUGUAUUAAACUUGGUAUUGUAAAAGAUUUAAGCAUUUGGUUUUGGUUUAUCAAAAUAUUAUCUCUGAAGUUAAUAUAAGUAAGUGAGCCCUGGCGAGAGCCAGGCAGGCAAUCCGCUAACUUUUAGGAUAUGCCCUAGGAGAAGGUGGGGUCGUCACAUUUUAAUUGUAAAAAUUUCAUGUUUUUAUAGGUUUAAUGAUUCAAUCAUCAAAUGGCAUGAAUUGAGAAGAUAAUUGGAUGAUUGAUAAUGGUUUGAAGUGAUAAAAAGAGAAUAUGAAAUGCAAGAGAUGAAAUGCAAAUAAAGGAAGUUUCAGCUUUGACACCUUAUGGUAUUUCGGCUCUAUCUUGAGCUAUAAGUAUUGGAUUGAGGUGAUUCUUGAAUCAUUUUGAAACUAAGAGAUAAAUCUAUAUUUGGUAUGAAGACAUUGAGGUCCAGUUUGUGAGGACUUGCAAAAUUCUCCAUAUUUUCUCAAAAUUUCCUUUUAUUUUGAAUAAGUCACUUUAUAAUUGCUUUACCACUAAAUUACUCCCUCAAUAGUUGUAAUAAAUUAUAGAAUUGAGAGUUUUACCUUUACUUUUAAAGUUAGGGUAAACUAGGGUUUUUACGUAUUUUGGUAGUGUGAUUAAUUGGUGAGCUGUGUGUGCUAAAUUUGGUGGAUAAGAAUGAGUAUUAGAUAAGAGGAAGUGUGUGAUUAGAAGUGCUAAUAAUAAGUUAGUGAAUCAUAAGUUAAAACACAAGUGCGAGAGAGUUAAGGAAAAUAGGCUUGAACCGACGUGGACCGUUUGUUACCGAUUGAGUACACCACUUGACCAAUAUUUUCUUACCCUAAUCCUCUUGUUUUUAUUUCAGCUAAUUAACCCUAGAUUAAGCCCUAAACCAGCCAAAAAUGUUGACUAAAGAAAAGUGAGAAAAAAAAUAAGAAGGAAUCUUGUUGUGCCAAGUGUUGGCAAUCUAAGGGUGGUUGACCAAGCCAAAUUCUUUCCUUCUUAUCUUCCAUUUUGGCUAAUAUUCCUUCAUUAUUUCUUCUUGUUGGCCGAGAGCAAAGAGAGGAGAAAGAGGGAAGAAAACUUCCAAUUCCAACCUUGAUUUUAGCCUUGUUUGAGUUGAAUCACAAAAAUCAAACCGAUUAAACUUGCAUCUUGGUGCUUAGGAAGCUAGGAGUGGUGAAAUUCUUGGGAGAAAUUGCUUGGUUCCUCACUUUCAAGAAGGUUUUGGAAGGUAUAAGUUCAUCCACUUCUUGUCUCUACCUUAAUCUUGAUAGAUAUGCUAUAGAAGCUUUGAAUUUUGGAAUAUAUUGGAUGAUACUCUAGUUUUGGUGUUGAUUAAUGAAAUUUCAGCUAGGAUUUGGUAAUUUUCAGCCUUGAUUAUGUUGUUUAACUAGCAAAUGUUGGUAUUGAGCUUGGAUAUGGAAUUUGUGAGGUGAUUAGUAGCAUGAUUGUGAUUUUUAGCCUUAAAAGAUGAAAUUUCAGCCUUGGUGAGAAAAUUCCAACUUUGGUAUUGGUUGAUUAUUUGUUAGAAAUGAGUUAUAUUUGGAUAGUUUUUAGCCUAGAUGAAGAGUUAUCUUGAUAUUCUUACUUGUGGUGUUUGAAUUGGGUUGAUUUGAGGAAAAACAUGAAGCCUUAUAUGGCUAGAAAAAUGAGUAAAAACAAAGGAUAUGCUACCCAAAUUUUUCUUCCGUAGGAUAAGCGAGCGAAAUGGGAACUUGAGCCGUGAUUCGUGGUUGAAUUGAACUUGAACUGGUUAGAGUAUUCAAGUUUCCUUUGGUAGAGGUACAUAAGCUAAAUUUUUGCCAAAACUCGUACCCUUUAAAAAGCAAAAGUAGCGACCACUAUAAAUACGUUUUCCUCGUCUUUUAGACCAAGUUGUGAACUUAAAAGUUUUAAUCGCUUCCUUAUCAAAACCAAAAGAGCGAGCAUGAGUUUUCUAGGGUGUGAUAAGUAAAAUGAAUACUACUUAAAUGAGUUUCAUUUACUUGACUUUUUUUAAACGAAACUCCUAUAAUUUGAACUCAAAUUGGUUUUAAACCGUUAAAUGAUAUUUUAUCGCAGAUUUGAACUCUAACCAGGGAGUUGCACCUGAACGUGGUUUUGAAAAGCCAUAAGUCAUUGGUGAGUACUUCCAAGUGCAUGAUUGAACUUGAUACUUGAUUUAAAUGCUUUACCAACGUGAUCGGAUAAUAUUUGAUUGGUUUGGUCGGGUAAGGGUGUACUUUAUCGCACUUACCCUAAUGUCACUUAUUACUGUGCAUUGAUUUCAAUUGACAUGAUAUGUAUGACUUGAGUACUAUCUGGAAUUCCAGAAACCCUGUGGCUAGUUACUCGAGUCGAGUCGAUAAGGGCCUGAUCAAUUAGAUAACAAACCCUAGGUCUCUAGUUCUGUCGAGUGGAGUGUUAUCUCCUCGACUAAUUGGUAUGUUCGAGUAUUACCACCAGUGUUUAUCUUGGAGUUCGGGCCCGAUAGGGGGUUUGAAUGGUGGACGGAGAUUGGAGUUAAGUGGUGUACUACUAAACUGGUUACUCUAUUUGAAAGUUGACGGAGUGUCAACUAUUAUUUGGUAAAGUUAUGGCAGAGCUAGUUGCAAAAACGACGGUAUCCUUUUACUUGGAAAUGUUGAAUAUUGAAUAAUUGGCUAUACAAAGGGUUAUUGCUUAUUUUCUUGACUUCUUAUGCUCGCUACUUUGAUAUCCGCAUUUUUAAAUAGUGGUCAACAUGCUACUUGGGUUUGCAUAAUGUUUUGGAACCUCAUUGAGUUUUAACUCACUCUAUUAGUUUUGUUUUCCUUACAGGGGGUACAAGAGAGGGCGUGAGGCUGGUACAAGCUAGCUUUGUCUAGUUUUUGAAUUUUUGUGAUUGUACUCGCGCUAGUGCUCUAUUAGGGUUGAAUGUAUCCGGAAUUUUAACUAUUUUGAGAUAUUUGGGAUUGUAUGAGCCUUGGAACUUAACUUAAGCAUCAAUGUACAUUCUAAACUUGGGAAUUGUUAUUUCAUUCAUUUUCAAUAGUUGUAAAUUGUUUCUUUGCAAGUAAGUGAGCGAGUCCUGACGAAAGUUGGGCAAGCGGACUGCUAAACUCUGGGAUACGCCCUAGAGGGAAGUGGGGUCGUCACACAGUUCAGUCGUUUUCAUUGUCGAAAAGUUGAAACACAGAAGUAUAUUUUCAUGGUUGAAAGCUAAAAAAGAGUUCUGACCAAUUAAGGGUAUUUUGAUCAUUUAUCUGUCCAUAAAACUCUAAAUUGGAUGAUUCUUGAGGCAUUGAAAAGAUAACUCAAAGAAAUAUAAUUUUCAUGUUUUAUACAAGAGCUAGUUCAGCUUCCAUCAUUAAGAAAAUAUCAGUUGAAAUUGGACAAAAAACAGAGUAAGGAACAAAUCUUGCCCAGAAUGAGCAAACCUACAAAAAGAGUAAAACGGGGGAGAGGAGUCAAAACGCAGGCAUAGGCCGCAUUUUCUACCCGCGUUUUCAUGGAUUUCGGCUGCAACUUGCUCUACAACUUGUGCUCUAUUCACACAACCUUUUUGAUAACUUUUUCUGCAAAGAUUCCGACUGGAAAUGAUCAGAUGAGCAUGAAAAUUUUGAGAAGCAAUCUUUGUGAGUUUCAGGAGUCAAAAUGACAACUAAAAACAACUCAUUUGGCUUUUAAAUUCCUCUAUAAAUAUAGAUCUUGGAGAAUAUUUUAAAAACUUUGGAAGGUUAGAGAAACUCACCAAAAAUGUUGUCUUCACUAGAAUUUUCUUAGUUCAUUAGUUAGAGUAGAUUAGUAUAGUUAGUGUAGUUUAUCCUUCUUGUAUUUAUAGUUAGAUUUGGAUGAAAAUUAAGGAGCAAGAUGGAGAGAUUGAUCUCAUGUAACAAGGGUGAUAUCUCUUCUACUACUUUCUCUCUUGUAUUUGAUUUUAUGUUUAGCUAUAAUACAAAUUUAAAUUUGUGUUUUUAUCAUAUUUAGUUAAAGUUUAUGUCUAGAGUUAUGGAUGAACUUUCUAUAUCUUGUUAGUGAUAUUUACUUGGUUAUUUGAUGAUGUUAUUUUGAGCAAGUUAUUUAUCACUUUUGCUUAUCUAAUCAUGACUAAUCGGCCAUUAAUUGUGAUAAUAUUAAGGUAUUAAGUUUGCAAUGAAAAUUAAAAUUUAACACUAGUUCAAGGAAGUGAUACACCUAGGGAGUAUACUCACAAGACUAGAGGUGUACCCUUGUGGUUUAGUGACUUGUUUCAUGUAAUUUCAUAGAAGAAAUGAGUUUGUAGGUAUGGUUUAGCUACAAGUAUAGUUGAUUCACUACAAGAGUAGGUUUCACAUACAUUAGAAAAUUCCGCCAUAAUUAACCAAGAUAAUAGCAUUCACUUAACCAAUAAUGUCUCUUGUAAGAGUAGUAAGAAAUUCCAUACCUCUAAGAGAUUUCUAUUAUAUUUUUGUUACUUUUAUAGUGAAGAUUUAAUUUCUUGUACUUGUGAUAAUCUAAAUAAUAAAGGAGUUCGAAAAAUAUCGGUAAUUGACAAUCUUUCCUGUGGGUUCGACCCUUAAUACCAUAUACUCAAUUACAACUCGUACACUUGCAAAAAAUCGCGUGUAGGGUAUUCAGAAUUUUAUAAAUGUAAAAUUUGACUGUGGAAUGAGCUAAUUGUUAUAUGUAUACCCCACGUUCGUCAAGUUUUUGGUGCCGUUAUUGGGGAAGAUUUGCUCAAUAUCGGUAGUAAGAACAACUUUAUUAGUUUGGAUAUUUUUACUUAUUUUUCUUGUUUUUAUUGUUUUUGUUGUGUCUAGUGUCUUGUUUGUUAUGUUUAGUGUCUAGUUGAGUCUUUAUUUGUAUGUUUCAUAUGUGUCGAGUCAUCUAUUCUUCUUGACUAAACGUGUUUUUAAGUUACUUUGAAAACAUGUUUAGAAACUCAAGAAGAGUGGUAAACAUGGAGGAACAAUGCAUGAGAAUGGAAGAUCGGCAA
rnacentral:lncRNA from 1 species